rnacentral:misc_RNA from 1 species
GUUAGUCAAACCUUUGAAUCAAGGUUAGUAGGAUGUCUACAUGUACUUCUAUUUCUCAUUUUUUAUAAAAUAUGUUUGUUGGCAUUGGGAUGAUUUAAUUAGUAAAUGAGCUUGCUACUACCGAUGACUGAAAAAAAAAAUUAUUGCUAGUAUUGGUUGAUAUUUUCAUUCUAAGAUUUACAUUAUAUGUUUAAUUCCAUCCAUAGAUCCUACUGAAGCGCAACUUUUCAAUGCGGAAGAUCUUUUGCUCUCUGUGUUGUGUGCUUCUUGUUAUUUUGUAACAAUAUAGGUUCUUAUGCUCCUAAAUUUAUAUUUUCAGCCCUUGAUAGGCCUUUUAUCCUUAGUGGGGAUUGAUCAUUGUAUUCCCUGUUCUCUUGAUGACCAUUCUGUUUAGUGCAAUUAUGAGUUGCUAGAUGGCAAUAUCUGUUCUCUAAUUGUUAAAUGAUGUGAGCAUUUGCGUCUAGUGACUCAUAACUUCGAUGAAUCUGAUAACCUCUUUGAAACCUGGAAGAUUAUGGAACUAUUUAUAGUCAUACCAUAUAUAAAUAUCAUAUGUAAAUAAAUGGGAGUUAAUAGGGUCAGAUACCUCCUUGGACUUUCUUGUUUAGUCAUAGAAUAAUAUUAUGGAUUGCUCAAUCCUGAACAGAUUUUGAAUCCUUUAUUUUUUACUUGGGUGAAUUGGCAAUGGAGGUUAUCAGCCUUGUAGCUGGGUCAAAUGCAUGAAGAGUCAUGAUGACACACUUCAAAGCUGCAAAUGGAAUCAUCUUCAAGAAGUGUAAAAUUGGAGUCAUAGUUAAGAGUUUAUGACAAGUGGUGACAAAAUCUGUGUUCUUUUAUAUUUAUGAAGGACAAAAAAUGGUACCCAUAAAGAACAAUAAUUUUUUGAUGUCUUGGAUCUGUUAUCUAAGUGCGAUAUGUCCUUGUGACUUAAUUCUUGGUCUGAUUUCUUCUAAGUUCAAAUCUUGUGCAAACCUUGAAAGGUUGAGGGACACUGAUGUAAGAUUUGAUCAAUGGUCUUUAGUAAAGUAAGAGGAGUUGCUUACCAGGUUUAGCUGUUAUUUUGAUUAUUAGCGCUUGAUGAUGGAUUUAUGCUUCUAAUGGUUU